rnacentral:lncRNA from 1 species
CCUGGGUUGUUUACUGCCAUUCAUUUCAGAAAAUAAAACUCCAAAAUGGAAAUGAAACAUAUACAGACAGUAUUUUUGCUAAGUUAGGCCUCUGAACCCAUAAGCCAAUAUUAUGAGCUACUCCAGAGUCUUGAAAUGUUUGAUGAAGUCCACUGAAGCAUCUUUAUCAAAAGUCAUUUAGUAUGCCGUGGGCAAACAUCAGCGUGAUGCUCCUACCUUGGAUGAGGUCAGAGACUGCACUUGAUGAAUCCACAAGUAGAAAUGAGGCAGACAUUAAGAGAGUGGGAGGAAGAGAGAACGAUUGUGCUCCUUCUGUCCAUUCACUACCUUUGGAUUAGUCAAGUGUAGGCAUUAGGUGGGUUUGUGCUUUGUGGGUCUGAGUCACUGAUGAAGAGGUGUGUGUAUGUUUGUGUGUGGGCAAUACAGUACAAACUGCCUCUGACCUGAGAGAGAGAGAGGAGGAGAAACAGACAGCAGUAAAUUAUGAUUAUUAGACUAUCACUGGUAUCUUUCUGUACAACUGCUGCAUAUGCGUGCCUGUGUUUAUGCUGGGAGGGAUAACUGCUACCAGUGUUUUAUGAUGCUGGUGUAGACCCUCCAGCUAGACCUUGGUUACAUUAAGCCUCAUACAUCACCAACAGAUGAUACAACCGCAUUAACAAUAGGAAAGUCUUUCCUUUGCAUUCAGAAAUAAGAUCUGCAUCCAAACAAUAGCGUUAUGAAAACAAUCUACAUCUGCAAAAUCAACUGAAAAUGCUGAUGUAUGCAUGCUGGUGUAUCCCUUACCCACACAUGGAGGAGCUCUUUAACAACAGCAUGUGUAUACAUGUCACUGUUUUUUAAGUUUGUGUUUUCACCUGCCCAAAAUGCAACAAAAUAUGAUCAUUUUCCACCAAGUCUUCUUCCCUGUAAACAGCCUCUUUGAAUAAGCCAAUGCAGACUUUAUUACAGCACACAAAUUGCACUAUACUCCUGCAAAGUCUCUGAGGUCUACAGGACAGCAGCUAAGACCAGACUAAGAACCAGGGGUGGCCGUGCCUUCUCUGCAGUGGCCCCCAAAUUAUGAAAUGAGCUCCCCCUUCAUGUUAGAUUGUUCCCAACUUUAACUGUUAUAAAUACCGUCUACCCAGCAUAAGAGUUAUGUGGUCUGUCUCUGUCUAUUCUUUUAUUUUUUUUAAUUUCCUUUUACAGUGUUUAUAUUUCUAAUAUUUCUAACAUUCCCUUUAAUGCCUGACACCAAAAAUUAUGGCCAUUAAUUCAAAAUUUUUUUUGAGCUGAAAUUUUUAUUUCACUUACAACUAAAAAGCAAAAAAAUAAAAAUAAAAUGUCCUUAAAAUUUACAAAUAUAUUAAUUAUUUUAUUUGAUACAUUAGAUGUUUUUGGAAACUGAUAAACCACGGGAGGACAUUUUAAUCAUAUAUCGGACUGUAUUCAGGUGUUUUUUUUUUUUUAGUGAUUUGUUGAUAAUAUUGAUUUGAUAGAAGUAUCAUAAAAGUAUGUAUUAAAUAUGAUACAAAAGGCAUUAAAGGGAUAAAUUGUUUUUAUGUGGUUUUUAUUAUGAGUCUUUUAUUUAACAUUUCAUGUUUCUUUGUGUUUUUUAACUUAUUUUACAGCACUGUGCAGCACUUUGUUAAACUUAAUUGUUUUUUUAAAUAUAAAUAAAGUGGAUUGGACACAAAUGCACAAACACACUAAAGACUUUACAGUCAACUCAACAAUCUUGAGUCUUCUAUGCUACCAAACUGUGUGCACAAGUGGUGGCGUACGCUAAUAUCUAGAGGGGAAAACCAAGACAAUUUUACAUUGAGAGUUAAGCAGGGAGAAAUUACACGCAUGUUUUAAAAAAAAUCAGCAGGACAAGAAUCCACUUACAACAGACAGUGAUUAAUGAGCUUUUGCUGGAGCUGUGUAACACAACAUCUGCUGCCACAGGGACUUCAGCACGAGCCGGAAACAAUAUGGCCUGCUCGGCACAUUAUACGGUAGCCUCAUGGAUUGAAACACAGAGGCACACUUCCACGCACACACACACUCACAUGAGCAUAUACACAAGCACAUACACACACAUGCACAUGCUCACACAUAGGAGUCUGCCUUCAUUAUGCUGGUUGUAACCUCGUUUUGUCCCAAACCACCCCAAUCUACACCCCUUCGUGAAUAUAUAUACACACACUCACCCCCCACACACACUACACAUGACCCCUGCAGACCUACACAUAUGCCCAUUAUACCUUCUGUAUCCAUCAUUUCCCUCCAAGACAACCUGCAACCUUAAAAACUCCCAGAAUACUCCAUGAAGACAACCCACUGACUGUAUUCUGCAAACACUGACACCGUGGACAGUAUCAUAGACUGAAACAAUAACUGCUUAUUUUUAUGUUGCCUAGGAGACUGGAAAACAGCAAUAUAAUGUAGGGUUUUCAAAUGAGACACAAAAUAUCUACAGGAGAGACAUUUUAAGGAAGGAGACAAAAUGUAGACACACUUUUAAAGCUAGCAGCUGAUGGUGACUUUUAAAAAAAUCCACGUUUUGAUAAGAAGUCUGAUUAUUUCUCAAUAGAAAAAAGGAAACUGCUCAAAGUCAUUUAAAGUAAGCUCUGUCUCCAUGUAGGGCUCUUAUAAAUACAAUAGUUUGAUCAGCAGAUUUUUGCAUUUGCCCCUCUGUGUCUGUCCCCCUUAGCACUCCUGCAGCUCUCUUGAUGUAUGCGGCUGGCUCGCGGUCAGAUGUGCGUGGGUGGAGGUUUGUGUGAUGUGCUUGUGGCCAGGUCACCUUGUGUGUGUGCGCAUGUGUGUGUGUGUGUGUGUGUGUUGGGGUGUGCUCUGCAUGUCUGGUAGGGAGGGGGUUUGACCGGCUUGGCAUUUAUGUGAUGACCUCCGCGGGGUUCACAUCAGAAGACAGAAGUUCAAGCCAAAUGGCGAAACAAAGGCGAGGCGUGGCUGUGAGUUUUAUGGUGCCUGCAGUGUGUGUGUGUGUGCGUG